UUUUACUAAAUGUAGCCAUAGUCCGUUAUGGUUAUCAAACGUUGGAUAGCUGAGUUACCAGACAACAAAGGACGAAUGCUAACAACAGGCUAAUGCUAACGCAAGUACAGUCUGAACACAUGGAGAGGAGGUUUGCUGUGGUGCGAUUGUGUGAAGGGGAGGAUUUUGGGAGACUCAGUGACAUAAAUGGGGAAUCCCAUUUCCUCCUACUCAGCAGUUCUUGAAUGGUGCCAUGGGAGGAAACAAGGAGGAUGUCUCACUACAGAGGCACUGUCAUGUUUGUUAGUGGAAGAAGAACUUAAAGAGCUGACAAAGAGGGCAACUGAGCCCCCUCGAUAUCGAGACUCAGGCAUUGCAAGUUAAGGUGACGUUAAUGUACUUUCAGCUCCUAUGCAAUUACCAUAUUUCCCGGUGGUACCAUGUACAUAGAAUGUGUUAGGGGUUGGCACAACUGUGUAACAGGCAUUAAUAUCUAGCCAGAAAAAAUAUCUGUAAGGAUUAUUGAUUCUUGAUACUGAUUUUCUUGAACAGUAUGGGUAGUGGCAGUGUUUUUCUUUUGGUUUCUAAGUCAAUAAUUUAAUUUAAUUUUCUCUUGACACCCAGAAGUCAAAGGCUCCCAUGAGGACAGAUUUUGCAGAAGAGUUCAUUAAGCAAUAUGGUCAAUCACAGCCUUCUUCAGAUAAUCAUAACAAUCCGACUAAGAUUGUGGAUAAAUUAAAGCAGGAGAUCAAGGACCUGAAAGCAGAGAACGCUAAAUUGAAAGAGAUUGUUCUUCAAGGUAUAAUUGAUUCAAAUCAGUCAUAGAAGCAUAAGAAAACACAUACUUUUUAUUAAAUGACUGUCCUAAAGAAGACAGUCAUUUACUAUGUUAGAUGUGGACUCCUACAGAGCUUGAGGCAUAUAAUUGAUUCAGCAGCACCUCAUAAUUGAUCCAGGGUGGAGCUUACCACCGCCAGCCCUUCCAGGUUGUCCGUGGUCCAGGUCGAGUUUUCUAUUUGCCAUAUCGCUGUCCCACCCCAGACCAUCGCUGUCCAGUUCCAUGUCUGCGUCUCAAUCACUGUCUCCCAGUCUUCUAUCAUAAUUGUUUUGUGAAGAAUAAAUUAAUACAGCACAUACAAUUUAUCUACUGCAUCAUAACUUUAUAUGCUCACCUUGUGUCCUUGUCUAAACAGGUUGAGAUCCAUCCUAGAACCGGAGUCAUGGUUGAGAAACUGGCGUGGACCUAUGCCCGCAAUGCAAAUUCGGCCACAGUAUUUGUGAGGCAUCUGCUCACCGCUGUCUUCCCAGUGGAAAUACUACUGGUGAGCAAUCCUCGGGGGAACAAACAAGGUGGAGGAGAGGCUCCUGUACCACUGGACCCAAAAAAAUUGGAUGCCAUCUACAGUGCAACUCUUAGAGGUGGCCAGGGACCCAGUUCUCCAAAAUUGGAAGCACAAUCAAUGCCAAGAUUACCGAGCUCCGGUCAAAAAAUAAAGAUGUUGCUGUGUAAACAGCUCCCCAUUAAACUUUUGUUUGCUCUUAGCUAAACAGAGUUUCCCACAAGUGUAUCAUAUAGUCCUUUGCCCUGAGCCAAUGCUGACUACGGUCUCCUGAAAAUAUGUACUGCAUUUUAAUUAUACUACACACAUCUUAGUGCCUGUUUUUUGUGAGAUAUCCAGUGUGCGGAAGAAAUAAACGAACACCAUACUUGUAAUGCGUACUGCAGAUUGUAGAUUACAUCAUUGGAACAUGCUCAUAAUGCUCUAUUGACUGGUUUUGGAUCACAUCUGCUCCAAUUACAGUCCCUAGAAAGUAUCCACCGGAAUGUACUUACCAAAAGUGGGAUGUAAGUAUGCCAUAAAGGCAUUUUAUGUUUACAUUUUACUCAUUUUGGUUGACAUUUUAUUUACUUAGCAAUUUCCUAAUCAAGAAUACUCAAAAUACCAUAGUAGUACUGGCAUGCUCAGAGCUCUUGAUUGCACUUAAGCUUUGUUCUUUGUUUCUUUGGUCAUAAAGGAGCAAAUCAGUUAGAUGUGUACACCUGUUUGUAAUGACAAUUAUUUGUUGGUGACAAUGUUCCCACAUUAGAAUAGGAAUAGUACAAGAUUGUGCUCUGCAUGUCUGUAUUUAUGCACAGAAAUUGUAAAAGAUAUUCCUAUCUAAUAAUAUUCAAAUUUUAUUUUUGAAAACAUGAUCUUCUUAAGAUCAGGGUUUACUGCUGUCAGCACUGUAGUCCCAACAGUG